UUAAUAAGUUUGAUUCUUGCUUAGAAAUUAAUUGUUUUAAUUUAUUACAUGAUUUUUAUUAAAUUUUUUAAUUUCAGUAAUUAAGUUUAUUUAUAUAUUAAUAUAUAUUUAGAAAUUAAAUUAAUAUAGAUUAAAAUUGUGCCAGCAAUCGCGGUUAUACAAUUUAUAUAAAUUAAUUUGUUUGGUUUAAUUUUAAUUAUUUUUUUAUUGAUUUUAUUUAUAUAAUAUUUAGGUGGAAUUUAUUUUAAUUUUAAUCUCAUUAUAUAGUUUAUUAAGUUUUAAUUUUAAACUAGGAUUAGAUACCCUAUUAUUUUAUUAUUUAUUAUUUACCUGAAUAUUAAUAAUUAAGUUUUAUAAAACUCAAAGAAUUUGGCGGUUAAUUAAAUCUUUUUAGAGGAAUUUGUAUUUUAAUUGAUAAACCACGAUAUUUUAAACCUUAAUUUUUAUUUGUAUAUCUCUAUGUUUAGAAUGUUUUUAAAGAAAUAUUCUUUAUUUAUAUUAAUUUUAUAUUAGGUCAAGGUGCAGUUUUAUUAAGGUAAAUAUGAAUUACUUUAAUUAUAAAUUAAUUUUUGGAUUUAUCUUAGUUUAAGGUAUUGAAAUAGGAUUUAAUAGUAAUUUUAAUUAAUUAAUUAUUUUGAAUAAAGUUCUAAUUUAUGCACAUAUCGCCCGUCGCUCUCAUUAAUAUGAGAUAAGUCGUAACAAAGUAAUUGUACUGGAAAGUGUAAUUAGAAUU
rnacentral:ncRNA from 1 species